rnacentral:rRNA from 1 species
AUUGAACGCUGGCGGAAUGCUUUACACAUGCAAGUCGAACGGCAGCACGGACUUCGGUCUGGUGGCAAGUGGCGAACGGGUGAGUAACAUAUCGGAACGUAUCCAAUAAUGGGGGAUAACUAAUCGAAAGGUUGGCUAAUACCGCAUACGUCCUACGGGAGAAAGCUAGGGACCUUCGGGCCUGGCGUUAAUGGAGCGGCCGAUAUCGGAUUAGCUAGUUGGUGAGGUAAAAGCUCACCAAGGCGACGAUCCGUAGCUGGUCUGAGAGGACGACCAGCCAAACUGGAACUGGGACACGGUCCAGACUCCUACGGGAGGCAGCAGUGGGGAAUUUUGGACAAUGGGCGCAAGCCUGAUCCAGCCAUGCCGCGUGCGGGAAGAAGGCCUUCGGGUUGUAAACCGCUUUUGGCAGGAACGAAACGGCGCAAGCCAAUACCUUGCGCUAAUGACGGUACCUGCAGAAUAAGCACCGGCUAACUACAUGCCAGCCGCCGCCGCGGUAA